GACGAACGCUGGCGGCGUGCUUAACACAUGCAAGUCGAACGGAAAGGCCCUGCUUUUGUGGGGUGCUCGAGUGGCGAACGGGUGAGUAACACGUGAGUAACCUGCCCUUGACUUUGGGAUAACUUCAGGAAACUGGGGCUAAUACCGGAUAGGAGCUCCUGCUGCAUGGUGGGGGUUGGAAAGUUUCGGCGGUUGGGGAUGGACUCGCGGCUUAUCAGCUUGUUGGUGGGGUAGUGGCUUACCAAGGCUUUGACGGGUAGCCGGCCUGAGAGGGUGACCGGCCACAUUGCGACUGAGAUACGGCGCAGACUCCUACGGGAGGCAGCAGUGGGGAAUAUUGCACAAUGGGCGGAAGCCUGAUGCAGCAACGCCGCGUGCGGGAUGACGGCCUUCGGGUUGUAAACCGCUUUCGCCUGUGACGAAGCGUGAGUGACGGUAAUGGGUAAAGAAGCACCGGCUAACUACGUG
rnacentral:rRNA from 1 species